GACGAACGCUGGCGGCGUGCUUAACACAUGCAAGUCGAACGGAAAGGCCCUGCUUUUGUGGUGUUCUCGAGUGGCGAACGGGUGAGUAACACGUGAGUAACCUGCCCUUGACUUUGGGAUAACUUCAGGAAACGGGGGCUAAUACCGUAUAGGAUCUGCUGCUGCAUGGUGGGGGUUGGAAAGUUUCGGCGGUUGGGGAUGGACGCGCGGCUGAUCAGCUUGUUGGUUGGGGAGUUGCUUACCAAGGCUUUGACGGGUAGCCGGCAUGAGAGGGUGAACGGCCACAUUGGGACUGAGAUACGGAGCAGACUCCUACGGGAGGCAGCAGUGGGGAAUAUUGCACAAUGGGCGGAAGCCUGAUGCAGCAACGUCGCGUGCGGGAUGACGGCCUUCGGGUUGUAAACCGCUUUCGCCUGUGACGAAGCGUGAGUGACGGUAAUGGGUAAAGAAGCACCGGCUAACUACGUG
rnacentral:rRNA from 1 species